ACCGCAUGAUGUCGCAAGACCAAAGUGGGGGACCUUCGGGCCUCACGCCAUCGGAUGUGCCCAGAUGGGAUUAGCUAGUAGGUGAGGUAAUGGCUCACCUAGGCGACGAUCCCUAGCUGGUCUGAGAGGAUGACCAGCCACACUGGAACUGAGACACGGUCCAGACUCCUACGGGAGGCAGCAGUGGGGAAUAUUGCACAAUGGGCGCAAGCCUGAUGCAGCCAUGCCGCGUGUGUGAAGAAGGCCUUAGGGUUGUAAAGCACUUUCAGCGAGGAGGAAGGCGUUGCAGUUAAUAGCUGCAACGAUUGACGUUACUCGCANAANAAGCACCGGCUAACUCCGUGCCAGCAGCCGCGGUAAUACGGAGGGUGCAAGCGUUAAUCGGAAUUACUGGGCGUAAAGCGCACGCAGGCGGUUUGUUAAGUCAGAUGUGAAAUCCCCGAGCUUAACUUGGGAACUGCAUUUGAAACUGGCAAGCUAGAGUCUUGUAGAGGGGGGUAGAAUUCCAGGUGUAGCGGUGAAAUGCGUAGAGAUCUGGAGGAAUACCGGUGGCGAAGGCGGCCCCCUGGACAAAGACUGACGCUC
rnacentral:rRNA from 1 species